GUGGGUGUGGCUCAGUGGUAGAGCACUUGCUGAUCCUGUGCAAGGCCCUGGGUUCCAUCCCCAGCAACACACA
rnacentral:tRNA from 1 species